UGCUGAUUGGUUGGUGACGCGACGUUGGGGACGCAGCUAGCACAGUAGCGUCCUGCUGCCCAAAACCCAUUUGCUGUAGAAAAAACGGAAAUAUGCAGACACAAUUUCUUUGCUAUUGUUUAGUAAAAUAAAUAUUUCUACUUUCCAAAAUUAAAGGAGGAUCCUGGCAAAGUGAUUAGAAACUAUUUACAUUUUUAGCCAUUUAGCUCAAUUUACUCCUAUUCAUUGAGGAAUCGCUCGCAGGCGCCCUCUGGCGUUUUGCAGUCAUUUUCUGACAUAAUGGGAGGAAUAGAGAGUAAUCAGGCUCCUCAUAAACCGACUCCGGUUUAACUAACAUUAUUAGAGACGAGACAACCAAGCUGAAGAAAACGCAACAAUAAGAAAACAGCAGGAGAGAGAACAGAACAGAGAAAGGACAGAAGAAAAGUGCCCAGGAGGUGGACAUAGACGAGAAUUUAAGACACAGAGGGCCCAAAGCAGCCACACCUAAAUUUCUUCCCAGGGGGACAGCAGAAAGACCUUCAAGAAGCUAUGAUUUGCCACCUACUGCCAUCUACAGGCAUUUUGGAGACAUACUGAAUUGUGUAUGCUGGUAUGCAGUCAUCCGCUUUAAACAGCACAACAGCAGCUAAAACACCCUCCCCCACACUCCACACACACACACAGCAGUGCCUUCCAGUGAUUGAUGAACUGUUCCUGUUCAUGUUGUACCUGUCACUGACUGUGAAGGUGAAAGAUGUGGGUGAUCAUUUGAACAUUCAUCAAUCCACCAUCACAAGGGUAAUCUUUAUUGGGCGUCGUUGGGAAUUGGCUGUCUCCUGAGACAAUUAGAGCCAUGAUGCAGUGUGUUUGGCGAGUACUCUGACAGCAAGGUGUAAUUUACUGUACAGAGAUGAGCUGUCAGAUCCUUUCUUCCUUACUCGCAUUGAGUGAGAUGUUCUCACAGUAUAAAUCCCACACUACCCUGAAAGGAAUGACAGGUGUGUCACCCCAAGGUGGUGUUAAUCUUGUUUCCUUUUUGUGUUCUGACAAAGAAUGGUUCAGACAAUCUGGCAGUGAGCCACCUUUAGAUAAAGAUGUGGCUGUAAUGGUGGAUAAAGGAUUCACAAUUGACAACUGAGUGCCCUGCAAACAUGGCAGCCCACCUUUUCUAAAUAAAACAUAACAGCUCUCUCAUGUUGAAGUCUGGUCAUUCAGACACUAUACAGUUAAUUGAGGAUACAUGUGGAAAGGACAAUUAGGCUCAUAAAAAAAUAACUGAUUGACAGUAUUAUCCCUAUGACCACUGCUGACAGAAUCAACCAGCUUUCUGUGGUAGCCUGCCUCCUAACAAGGCACUGGUCAGGGCAUGGGCCAGAGAACUUACUGUGCUAACCUGAGUGAGACAGCCUCUCUGGAUACUUGCACACUGAAUGGCCUGUCAGUAUGCUCUCUUAAACCAUAACAUUACAGAACAAUUUCAACAAGAACUGGAUUUCCUAAAGAUUUGAUAUUCUGAUCCAAUUUUAUGUAGCAAUACAAGACAUAUGUUUUGAUUUUGAGUGUGUUUUCAUUAACUGUCCCCUCUCUGUCUCUUGUAUAUCUAGUAAAUUGUAUGAAAUCAAACAUACAAUAAAAAUAUGAAAUCUUUUUUAUGCAUAACAUUCUUUAUACAAUCACCAUGAGACAAAACUUGUAUAUGAAAUGUUUCAUUUUUGUCACUGACAAAUAAAUCUUUGAAAAAAA